UUAAAACCGGUGAUGGAGAAUAGUAGAUAAGGUUUAAACUCAAGAGAGCCGGUGGUUGGUGUGAACCGGUGUUUGGCCUUAUUGAAUCCACUCCAGAGGGUUUGCGAUGAGCAAAACGGAUGUGGCCGUUAUACCACAAAGAGAGGACCUUAUGGUCAAUUAGGGUGGCACCGCGAAAGUAUAGCCUUUCGUCCCUUUG
rnacentral:ncRNA from 1 species